AUCCAGCUGAUCAGUCUCAAACAGGACAAAACAUAUGUCCUGGAU
rfam:Schistosoma curassoni strain Dakar, Senegal genome assembly, scaffold: SCTD_scaffold0013425